ensembl:lncRNA
CCCAUAGAGCUCAAAAGGGACCCCAUAUACCUCCAUAGUGACCCCAUAGAGCUCCACAGUGACCCCAUAACAGCCCCAUAGUGACCCCAUAGAGCUCCAUAGUGACCCCAUAAAAGCCCCACAGAGACCCCAUAGAGCUCCAUAGUGACCUCAUAACAGCCCCAUAGUGACCCCAUCGAGCCCCAUAGGGACCCCAUAACAGCCCCAUAGCGACCCUAUAGAGCUUAAUAGAGCCCCACAGUGACCUCAUAGAGCCCCAUAGGGACCCCAUAACAGCCCCAUAGCGACCCUAUAGAGCUCAAUAGGGACCCCAUAUACCUCCACGGUGACCCCAUAGAGCCCCAUAGCGACCUCAUAGAGCUCCACAGUGACCCCAUAGAACCCCAUAGUGACCCCAUAACAGCCCCAUAGUGACCCCAUAGAACCCCAUAGUGACCCCAUAGAGCUCCAUAGGGAUAUGGGGAGGUUUGAGGUGGAAGGGUCCUGGAAGGUCACAGAGAUACGGACUGGUUGCUGUGGAAGGGUCCUGGAAGGUCACAGAGAUGUGGGGUGGUUGGGGCGGAAGGGUCCUGGAAGGUCACAGCAAUACGGGGUGGUGGGGCUGGAAGGGUCCUGGAAGGUCAUCACUGAAUGGGUUUUAUUGGAAGGGUCCUGGAAGGUCAUCACUGAGUGGAUGGGAUUGGAAAGGUCCUGGAAGGUCAUCACUAAACGGGUUGGACUGGAAGGGUCCUGGAAGGUCAUCACUGAAUGGAUGGGAUUGGAAAGGUCCUGGAAGGUCAUCUCUGAGUGGGUUGGAUUGGAAAGGUCCUGGAAGGUCUCUGGGAGUGGGUUGGAUUGGAAGGGUCCUGGAAGGCCAUCACUGAACGGGUUGGACUGGAAGGGUCCUGGAAGGUCAGUACUGAAUGGAUGGGGUUGGAAAGGUCCUGGAAGGUCAUUACUGAACAGAUUUAAUUAGAAGGGUCCUGGAAGGUCAUUACUGAAUGGAUGGGAUUGGAAAGGUCUUGGAAGGUCAUCACUAUGCGGGUGGGAUUAGAAGGGUCCUGGAAGGUCACUUCUGAGAGGGUUUGAUUAGAAAGGUCCUGGAAGGUCAUCACUGAAUGGGUUUUAUUGGAAGGGUCCUGGAAGGUCAUCACUGAGUGGGUUGGACUGGAAGGGUCCUGGAAGGUCAUCACUGAACGGGUUGGACUGGAAGGGUCCUGGAAGGUCAUCACUGAAUGGAUGGGAUUGGAAAGGUCCUGGAAGGUCAUCACUGAACGGGUUGGACUGGAAGGGUCCUGGAAGGUCAUCACUGAAUGGAUGGGAUUGGAAAGGUCCUGGAAGGUCAUCACUAAAUGGACAUGGUUGGAAGGGUCCUGGAAGGUCAUCACUGAAUGGAUGGGGUUGGAAAGGUCCUGGAAGGUCAUCACUGAAUGGGUUUUAUUGGAAGGGUCCUGGAAGGUCAUCACUGAAUGGAUGGGAUUGGAAAGGUCCUGGAAGGUCAUCACUGAAUGGAUGGGAUUGGAAAGGUCCUGGAAGGUCUCACUAAAUGGGUUUUAUUGGAAGGGUCCUGGAAGGUCAUCACUGAAUGGAUGGGGUUGGAAAGGUCCUGGAAGGUCAUCUCUGAGUGGGUUGGAUUGGAAGGGUCCUGGAAGGUCAUCACUGAAUGGAUGGGAUUGGAAAGGUCCUGUAAGGUCAUCACUGAAUGGAUGGGAUUGGAAGGGUCCUGGAAGGUCAUCACUGAGCGGGUUGGACUGGAAGGGUCCUGGAAGGUCAUCACUGAACGGGUUUUAUUGGAAGGGUCCUGGAAGGUCACCACUGAGUGGGUUUUAUUGGAAAGGUCCUGGAAGGUCUCUGGGAGAGGGACGGCGGCGCGCCGUGACGCCUCCCAUUGGCGCGCUCCUACCGGAAGUCCCGCCCCCCGCGCAUGCGCAGUGGGAUCCGCGGCGCGCCUGUGAGAUCGGGCGGUUCCGGGAGGAGCGGUGAGAGCGCAGUUGUGGGGCUGAGGCCCUCCCGGAGGUGCCGCUAUGGGGCUGCUGUCCGACCCACAGUGCCGCCGUCUGCUCAGCCGCCUCCUGCAGCGCUUCAAUGUGCCCCUAUGGUGCGUCACGGCCCCAUACGGCCCUAUAUGGCCCCAUAGAGCCCCAUAAGGCCCUGUGUGGCCCCAUAUGGCCUCAUAUGGCCCCAUAGAGCCCCAUACGGCCCCAUAUAGCCUCAUAUGGCCUUAUAUAGCCCCAUAUAGUCCCAUUUGGCCUCAUACGGCCCCAUAUAGCGUCAUAUGGCCCCAUUUGGCCCCAUAUAGUCCUAUAUGGCCCCAUAUAGCACCAUACAGUCCCAUAUGGCCUCAUAUGGCCCCAUUUGGCCCUAUAUAGUCCUAUAUGGCCCCAUAUAGCCCAUAUGGCCCCAUAUAGCCCCAUACGGCCCCAUAUAGCCUCAUAUGGCCCCAUUUGGCCCCAUAUAGUCCCAUCUGGCCCCAUACGGCCCCAUUUGGGCCCAUAUAGUCCUAUAUGGCCCCAUAGAGCCCCAUACGGCCCCAUAUAGCCUCAUAUGGCCUUAUAUAGCCCCAUAUAGUCCUAUUUGGCCCCAUAUGGCCCCAUUUGGCCUCAUACGGCCCCAUAUAGCGUCAUAUGGCCCCAUUUGGCCCCAUAUAGUCCUAUAUGGCCCCAUAUAGCACCAUACAGUCCCAUAUGGCCUCAUAUGGCCCCAUUUGGCCCUAUAUAGUCCUAUAUGGCCCCAUAUAGCCCAUACGGCCCCAUAUAGCCUCAUAUGGCCCCAUUUGGCCCCAUACGGCCCCAUUUGGCCCCAUAUGGCCUCAUACGGCCCCAUUUGGGCCCAUAUAGUCCUAUAUGGCCGCAUAUAGCCCCAUACAGUCCCAUAUGGCUCCGUAUGGCCCCAUAUGGCCCCAUUUGGCCCCAUACAGCCCCAUAUAGCCCCAUACAGUCCCAUGCGGCCCCAUAUGGCUCCAUGCGGCCCCAUAUGGCUCCAUACGGCCUCAUAUGGCCCCAUAUAGCCUCAUAUGGCCCCAUUUGGCCCCAUUUGGCCCCAUAUAGCCCCAUACAGCCCCAUAUGAACCAAUGUAGCCCCAAUAAAGCCCCAUAAGGCCCUAUACGAACCUGUAUAGCCCCAUAUGGCCCCAUAUAGCCCCAUACAGUCCCAUAUGGCUCCGUACAGCCCAAUAUGGCCCCAUAUGGCUCCGUACAGCCCUAUAUGGCCACAUAGAGCCCCAUAAGGCCCUGUAUGGCCCCAUAUGGCCUCAUGUGGCCCCAUAGAGCCCCAUACGGCCCCAUAUAGCCUCAUAUGGCCCCAUUUGGCCUUAUAUAGCCCCAUAUAGUCCUAUAUGGCCCCAUAUAGCACCAUACAGUCCCAUACAGUCCCAUAUGGCUCCGUAUGGCCCCAUAUGGCCUCAUAUGGCCCCUUUUGUCCCCAUAUAGUCCUACAUGGCCCCAUAUAGCCCCAUACAGCCUCAUACGGCCCGAUUUAGCCCCAUAUAGUCCUAUAUGGCCGCAUAUAGCCCCAUACAAUCCCAUAUAGCCCCAUAUAGUCCCAUCUGGCCCCAUACGGCCCCAUUUGGCCCCAUAUGGCCUCAUACGGCCCCAUUUGGGCCCAUAUAGUCCUAUAUGGCCGCAUAUAGCCCCAUACAGUCCCAUAUGGCUCCGUAUGGCCCCAUAUGGCCCCAUACAGCCCCAUAUAGCCCCAUACAGUCCCAUGCGGCCUCAUAUGGCCCCAUUUGGCCCCAUAUAGCCCCAUACAGCCCCAUAUGAACCAAUGUAGCCCCAAUAAAGCCCCAUAAGGCCCUAUACGAACCUGUAUAGCCCCAUAUGGCCCCAUAUAGCCCCAUACAGUCCCAUAUGGCUCCGUACAGCCCAAUAUGGCCCCAUAUGGCUCCGUACAGCCCUAUAUGGCCCCAUAGAGCCCCAUACAGCCCUGUAUGGCCCCAUAUGGCCUCAUAUGGCCCUAUUUGUCCCCAUAUGGCCCCAUAUAGCCUCAUAUGGCCCCAUAUGGCCUUAUAUAGCACCAUAUAGUCCUAUAUGGCCCCAUAUAGCACCAUACAGUCCCAUACGGCCCCAUGCGGCCCCAUAUGGCCCCAUACGGCCCCAUAUGGCCCCAUAUAGCCUCAUAUGGCCCCAUUUGGCCCCAUACGAACCCAUAUGGCCCCACAUGGUCCCAUACAGCCCCAUACGACCCCAUUUGGUCUCAUAUGGCCAAUACGGCCCCAUACAGCCCCAUAAGGCCCCAUGCAGUCCCAUACGGCCCCAUAAGGCCCCAUACAAACCCAUA